rnacentral:rRNA from 1 species
UACGUAGGGGCAAGCGUUGUCCGGAUUUAUUGGGCGUAAAGAGCGUGUAGGCGGCCAGGUAGGUCCGCUGUGAAAACUCGAGGCUCAACCUCGAGAUGUCGGCGGAAACCAUCUGGCUAGAGUCCGGAAGAGGAGAGUGGAAUUCCUGGUGUAGCGGUGAAAUGCGUAGAGAUCGGGAGGAAGGCCGGUGGCGAAGGCGGCGCUCUGGAACGUACCUGACGCUGAGACACGAAAGCGUGGGAGCAAACAGG